rnacentral:rRNA from 1 species
CCUACGUGAGGCUGCAGUGGGGAAUAUUGCACAAUGGGGGAAACCCUGAUGCAGCGACGCCGCGUGAGUGAAGAAGUAAUUCGUUAUGUAAAGCUCUAUCAGCAGGGAAGAAAAUGACGGUACCUGAGUAAGAAGCCCCGGCUAACUACGUGCCAGCAGCCGCGGUAAUACGUAGGGGGCAAGCGUUAUCCGGAUUUACUGGGUGUAAAGGGAGCGUAGACGGCAGUGCAAGUCUGGAGUGAAAGGCGGGGGCUCAACCCCCGGACUGCUCUGGAAACUGUACGGCUGGAGUGCAGGAGAGGUAAGUGGAAUUCCUGGUGUAGCGGUGAAAUGCGUAGAUAUUAGGAGGAACACCAGUGGCGAAGGCGGCUUACUGGACUGUAACUGACGUUGAGGCUCGAAAGCGUGGGGAGCAAACAGGAUUAGAUACCCGAGUAGUC